AAAAAAAAGAAUAAAACUUAUUUUCCUUUCAAAAAAUGAAUACAGUCCUUUGUUUUUUAACUUAUCUAAUCUUCGUUUCAUCAUGUAUGUCAAAUAUCAUGGCAAAACCCAACUUAGGCGGACAUGGUAUUACUUUUAAGCUUGCAGAAAGCCCUCAAAAUGUCAAUUUUGAAACUGUUCUCAAAACGAAAAAUGCCAAUUUUGAAACUGAAUAUGAUUUUUGUGGUAGAUGUGUUCAUAGUUGUAUAAGAAGAUACAAAUAUGUGCAAAGCUGUGAAAACUUUAUUUGUCGUUGUACUCGUUCUUUUAUAUUCACUGGUCCAUGAAGCCAUAACGGAUGCCGAGUAUGAAUGAAUUAACUACUUUUGGUGUGUUUGAUUGAAUUUUGUGGAAUAUCUGGAAAAAUACACUUUGAUAUUCAAAACAAUUCUAUGAGAAUCUUGUAUCUUCGUCUUAGUACAUAUACUAGUCUUUUUCCUUUUAAAAAUAUCAAAUACCAAAAAUCAUACAUAUUUCCAAUCGCCAAAAUAAUACAGUUUAUGAUUACAAGAGUGGUCUUCAUCUCAUCUUCUUGCUCAUAAACAUUUUUUUCUAUUUUAUGUGGUUCUUCGUGUAUCAUUGGUUUAACAGACUUCAGAUGUAAGUUAAUGUUUGGGAUACCUAGUGCGGUGCAUUUGCAAAAUGAAACCGUGUUUUCAAAGUUCUGGGCCGACUCAACCUCAAUAUUUUUCAAGAGUGUACACUUUCGUUUUUAUGGUUUAUUUUUAGUUUUGGUUCAUUGGUUUUCUAAAAACUGAAACCAUCAUAUAUUAGAAUAAAUUAACCAUACAUUUUAGCAGAAAAAAGACUACCAAUUGGUGGAACAGAAGCAAAUAAACAAACUACAUUUUACCAUGAGGAUCAAAACCCAUAUAAGAAUCAUAUAUAAUAAUAGGGGUUGACAGGCGUGUCUUAUACACUAUAGGCACAUGAGGUUGGGUGAUACAAAUUAUCAUGUGACUAGUUAACAAUAAUUUCAUUUUGAAAGGUUGUUUCUCGCAUCUCGAAUUCAAUCUAAUAUAUAUUUAAUUUUAACAAUGACUAGAUUUUGAUCCGCACUUUCAAAGUGCGAGAUUAUAUUUGAAACAAAUCAAAUUUAUAUGAUGUAAAUUGGUACUUUUGAAUGCUACACAUGAAAUAUUAUAUUCAGUAUUUUUAGAUCCGACCCGGACCCGCAGUUAUACUAGCAAAACCGGUGACACGAUACGUAAUACAAUUUGUUUUUAAGAAAAAAUGUUAUUUAAGAAUUCUAUAAAACCUGCAAAAGAUUGCUAAAACCCGGAAUCUGGCUACCGAUUGAACUCAUGGGUGAUCCAAUAUGUAAUCGAAUUUUACUUAAAUUGUUAUAUUUAAAGUAUUUUAAUUCAUGAAUAUUUAGAUGAAUGGUUGAUAUUUUAUGAAUGCGAUAUUCCAAUUUUACAAAAGAUAGAUAUACAUAUUUUUAGUCAAACUAAUUUUUUAUCUUGUUUUAAGUGUAAUGGAUCAACAUUUGAGAGGCUGCAUGCUAAAAAUAGAAAUAGAUUUGAGCAUCAACAAUUCGUAUACGUCUACUACAAUUUAAUGAUUUACGUUAGAAAAAUAAAAUCGUUUUAUUUAUUUAUUCAGUUUUCUUUUUUUCACAUAUUAUUAGAAUUUUUUUGAUGUUUGGUUUUUGGUUUAUUUUCAAUUUAAAAGUUAGUUUUUAUUAUUCACAUUAGAUAUUUAAAUAUUUAUUAAUUUUAAUUUUGUUAUAUAUAUUUAUAUUUUAUUAUAUAUCUAACUCCUAAUUUAUUACAGUUUUAUAUAUAUAAUUAUACUUAAAAUUAAUUAAACUAUUGACCCAUACUCUUUUGCAUCAAUUUAUGUUAAUGUAAUGUUUUAUGAUAUAAUUGUGUUAAUAUAUUUUCAAUUAGUUAUAUUUGACAAGUAUAUUACAUGUCUUUUCGAAUAACCCGUAAAAACUAUACUCAUAAAAAUAUUAAUAAUAACAUGUUUCAUCUUAUUAAAUAUUAAUAGUAGCUAAUUAUUAAUUUUUUUAUCAAAAAUUUAUUUAUAUAUAUAUAUAUAUAUAUCUAAUUUUAAUACUAACUAUAAGAAUUAUAUUUUUUAUGUAUGUGGUGAGGAUAUUGAAGAAUUUAUUUCUUGCACUUAAAUUAAUGUACAGUUGGUAUAUACACGAAUUAGUAGACAGGGGUCAUUAUUUAUUAUACUAAUAAAUAAAAUAUAAUUGAUUAGUUACUUAAAAUUAGUUUAAUAACCUUACGAACACAUGUAUAAACGAAUCUGUUCAAAAUGGGUUAUAACCAUUGUAUAAUUGAUCAAUACUCACAUGUAGAACCAAAUUGAUAAAAAAAUCCCGAUUUUUAUUAGUGAAAUAUAAACUUAAUGGUCGUAAAAAAAAAUUUGAUGUAUGUCUAAAAUAUUAAUCCAAAUUACAUUUAUGCUAACUUAUUAGUCUUAUUAUUUUAGUCAAUCAAGUAGUCCUUAUCAAUUAUUUAGUAUAGAUGGAUCAAAUAAAGAAAGAUCAUAUAUAUGAUCUACUGAUAGAUAAUUAUACAUAUAAAUAGAACUGAAAAAUUAAUAGUUAUAUAGAAAAUUUUCUAAGUAGCUCACAAAAAUAAUUUUGGUUAUGCUAAGAUUCCUAAUAAAGUGCAUAUUGUUUAAGUUGUUAAGAGAUCAAAGAUAUAAAGUCAAAAUCUAAUGUUAUAGAAAACUUUAUAGUACAAUUAAAUUCGAAAACAAAUCUUGGAUAAGAUCUAAAAAUAAAUAUUUACAAUCUAGUAUGCAAAAACUGAAUCUAACAAAAUUUUAGCAGAAGAAACUGAAACAUAUUAGUAAAAUA